ACGCUCGACACCUACGGGAGGCNGCAGUGGGGAAUAUUGCACAAUGGGGGAAACCCUGAUGCAGCGACGCCGCGUGGAGGAAGAAGGUCUUCGGAUUGUAAACUCCUGUCCCAGGGGACGAUAAUGACGGUACCCUGGGAGGAAGCACCGGCUAACUACGUGCCAACAGCCGCGGUAAUCUGAGCGGGCUGGCAAGGC
rnacentral:rRNA from 1 species